CUUCUACUCUUCUACAUUUGCACACACUGUACAUACAUUUUCUUAUUGUGUUAUUGACUGUACGUUUGUUUAUAUGUAACUCUGUGUAGUUGUUUUUGUGGCACUGCUUUGCUUUAUCUUGGCCAGGUCGCAGUUGUAAAUGAGAACAUGUUCUCAACUGGUCUACCUGGUUCAAUAAAGGUGAAAUAAAAAAAUUAAAUCGUAGGCUUUUAAGGACUCGAUUCAAUCGUCAAAGUUCAGCACUAUGGAGAGCCUGAAAUUUAAAAGUAAUUUCCGAUUGAGCCGACAUAUGCAGCGUUUAACAUGACUGCAGUCUUUGGUAAUGCAGUAACAUUGCCUUUAAAUGUCAAUCAUUUUCAGCGCUACAAAUUGAAUCAAGCCCGUAGUUGAGCAUUUCAUUUACAGUUCACGAAGUUUAGAGUUUGGGACUGUUUACCUUUUUACCUCUAGUGCCAUUCUGUUUUCAAGGAGAUAGACAAUUCUCCAUUCUCUCUUUACAAAAAAGAACGAGAGAAAAAGAGUUAGAAAGACAAUUUGCAAAAAAGAUUGAUUAAAUAUUAAUAUGUCAGUUGGUGAUAGAUUUUUCAUUUCAAAAUAUUUUGGGAACGUGGUCUAAACUAGAUCAAUAGCUGUGAAAAAUGGUUAAACCAACACUAGAAACUCAUCUGUUAUUUGUUGCAUCAGUUCUUCUGCUUUAAAAGAAAACAACAUGUUGAUUUGUUUGUUAUGAUCAGAGAUUCUGACCUGUUUAUAUCUGGGUUGAAUGUUCUUGUAAUGAAGAACAAUAAACCAGCUGUAUUAGAUAAAUAGUUACUCCACCGUGUCUCCUUAAACAGGUUAAGGAGAUAUGUUUCCUCUCUCCACUCUGGUAUACUUGGAUUUCAGGUGUGCAAGUGGAAUUGCUCAAGGGACCAGAAGCAGAUUGAGAUUCAAUUUUGAUAAGUGUGUGGAACUCAGAUCUGUGGAACUCGGGUCUGUGGAACUCAGGUCUGUGGAACUCAGGUCUGUGGAACUCAGAUCUGUGGAACUCGGGUCUGUGGAACUCAGGUCUGUGGAACUCGGGUCUGUGGAACUCGGGUCUGUGGAACUCGGGUCUGUGGAACUCGGGUCUGUGGAACUCGGGUCUGUGGAACUCAGAUCUGUGGAACUCGGGUCUGUGGAACUCGGGUCUGUGGAACUCAGGUCUGUGGAACUCAGGUCUGUGGAACUCGGGUCUGUGGAACUCGGGUCUGUGGAACUCGGGUCUGUGGAACUCUGGUCUGUGGAACUCAGGUCUGUGGAACUAAGGUCUGUGAAACUCAGGUCUGUGGAACUCAGAUUUGUGCUUGGUUUUAUUCCAAUUUUAGCACACUCAAGUCAGAAUAAUCAGUGAUAAUAAUACAAUAUCAGUGUGGUUUACACUAGUCCAUUGUGUCACUGUAGAAACCCUUCACUACUUACUGAAUGUAGCUAUAUUUAACUAGGAUAUAGUUAAAAGUGUGUGGAGUGACUAGGAAUGUCCCAAAAGGAAUGUUUAGCUGCAGACAAGGGGAGGAAAGUGUUUUUUGUUCUCCAGGUUUGUCUUACUUCUUUUCUCUGUUGUGUUUUCCUCCCUAGGGCUGUUCUAGAUUGACAGUUCCAACUGCUGUUCCACUUCCUUUUUUCUUCCCUUCUUUUCUGUCCCUUUUUUCUGAAUGUAAGCAUAUGGUUUUAAUAACUAAUGAUAAUUGGAUGCCAAAUAUGAAGGGAAACAUUUCUUCGUUCCAAUGAUAUACAGUGCCUUCGAAAAAUGUAUUCAGACCCCUUGACUUUUUCUACAUUUUGUUACGUUACAGCCUUAUUCUAAAAUUGAUCAAAUCGUUUUUUCCCUCCCAUCAAUCUACACAAAAUACCCCAUAAUGACAAAGCAAAAACAGGUUAAGAAUUGCUAGGCGUUCUGCUAGUGGGACAACUUCCUGUGAAACUGAAGGGCGUGCAAUUCACCAUGCUUCUACACCUGCAUUGCUGUUUGGUGUUUUUGGCUGGGUUUCUGUACAGCACUUUGUGGCAUCAGCUGAUGUAAGAAGGGCUAUAUAAAUAAAUGUGAUUUUAUAUAAAUAAUCAUAAAAAUGAUGGAUAUUAAACAUUUAGGUACAUACAAAUGUCUUAUAUCAGUUGAAAGCUUACAUUCCUGUUAAUCUAACUGCUCUGUCCGAUUUACAGUAGCAUUUACAGAGAAAACAUGCCAUUUGAUUGUUUGAGGACGGCGCCCCACAUCAAAAUAUUUUUCCACCGGCACAGGUUUCAUAAAUUCACAAAUAGUGAUUAAAUAUUCACUUACUUUUCCUCUGAUUUGUCAUCCAAAGGGUCUCAGGUAUAACAUGUAGUGUCGUUUUGUUAGAUAAAAUCCUUCUUUUUACCCCAAAAAGUCAGUUUAGUUGGCACAAUCGAUUUGAGUAAUCCAUUCGUUCAACAUUCAGAGAAAGGAAUCCGAAAAUCUACCCUUAAACUUUGUUUCAACAAGUUAAAAUAUGUUUCUGUUUACUCCUCAGAUAUUUCUUACGGAAAGAAGUAUGUUCAAUAGGAAACCGAUUUUAGCAGGCGUGUCUUGUCUUCAUGGCGCGCCCAAACACUAAUUUCCAAGACUGUGUCCCUGUACUAAAACUGAUAUUUCUUAUUUGUUUUGGAAGCUAAAAACCUGAAACCUUGAACAUAGACUGCUGACACCCUGUGGAAGUCAUAGGAAUUGCAUCCUGGGAGCUAGAAUUCAGUAUGCCCCUAUACUUUCCAUUGUAAGAACACUGUCUCUCAAAACAAAAUAUUCAGGUUGGUUUUUCUUUGGAUUUUCUCCUACCAUAUCUGUUGUGUUUUAUUCUCCUACAUUAUUUUAACAUUUCUACAAACUUCAAGGUGUUUUCUCUCCAAUGGUACCAAUUAUAUGCAUAUCCUGGCUUUAGGGCUUGAGCAACAGGCAGUUUACUUUGGGAACGUCAUUCAGGUGGAAAAUGAGAAAAAAGGGGCCUGCCCUAAGUUUUUAAGAAAUGUUUGCACAGUUAUUCCAAAUAAAAAACUGAAACAUUACAUUUACGUAGGUAUUCAGACCCUUUGCUCAGUACUUUGUUGAAGCACCUUUGGCAGCGAUUAAAGCCUUGAGUCUUGGGUAUAAUGCUAUAAGCUUGUCACAACUGCAUUUGGGGAGUUUCUCCUGUUCUUCUCUGCAGAUCCUCUCAAGCUCUGUCAGGUUGGAUGGGGAGCGUUGCUGCACAGCUAUUUUCAGGUCUCUCCAGAGAUGUUCGAUCGGCUUCAUGUCCAGACUCUGGCUGGGCCACUCAAGUACAUUCAGUGACUUGUCCCGAAGCCACUCCUGCGUUGUCUUGGCUGUGUGACUAGGGUCGUUGUCCUGUUGGAAAUCUGAGGUCCUGAGCGCUCUGGAGCAGGUUUUCAUCAAGGAUCUCUCUGUACUUUGCUCCAUUCAUCUUUGCCUCGAUCCUGGCUAGUCUCCCAGUCCCUGCCGCUGAAAAACAUCCCCACAGCAUGAUGCUGCCACCACCAUGCAUCAUCGUAGGGAUGGUGCCAGUUUUCUUCCAUACAUGACGCUUGACAUUUAGG
rnacentral:lncRNA from 1 species